GACGGAGGGUGCAAGCGUUAUUCGGAAUCAUUGGGCGUAAAGAGUGUGUAGGCGGCCGGUUAAGUCAGGUGUGAAAGCCCAGGGCUCAACCCUGGAAGGGCACUUGAUACUGGUCGGCUUGAGUUCGGGAGAGGGAAGCGGAAUUCCUGGUGUAGAGGUGAAAUUCGUAGAUAUCAGGAGGAACAUCGGUGGCGAAGGCGGCUUCCUGGACCGAAACUGACGCUGAGACACGAAAGCGUGGGGAGCAAACAGG
rnacentral:rRNA from 1 species